CGGGAGUAACGCGUGGGUAACCUGCCUCGUACAGGGGGAUAACAGUUAGAAAUGACUGCUAAUACCGCAUGAGCGCACAGUGCUGCAUGGCACAGUGUGAAAAACUCCGGUGGUAUGAGAUGGACCCGCGUCUGAUUAGCUAGUUGGUGGGGUAACGGCCUACCAAGGCGACGAUCAGUAGCCGGCCUGAGAGGGUGAACGGCCACAUUGGGACUGAGACACGGCCCAA
rnacentral:rRNA from 1 species